rnacentral:rRNA from 1 species
AUUGAACGCUGGCGGCAGGCCUAACACAUGCAAGUCGAACGAGUGGCGGACGGGUGAGUAAUGUCUGGGAAACUGCCUGAUGGAGGGGGAUACUUACUGGAAACGGUAGCUAAUACCGCAUACCAUCGGAUGUGCCCAGAUGGGAUUAGCUAGUAGGGGGGGUAAAGGCUCACCGAGGCGACGAUCCCGAGCUGGCCUGAGAGGAGGACCAGCACCAAUGGAACUGAUACAGGGCCCAGACUCCAACGGGAGGCACCAGGGGGGAAUAUUGCAAAAUGGGCGCAAGCCUGAUGCAGCAAUGCCGCGUGUAUGAAGAAGGCCUUGGGGUUGUAAAGUACUUUCAGCGGGGAGGCGUUAACCGCAGAAGAAGCACCGGCUAACUCCGUGCCAGCAGCCGCGGUAAUUC